rnacentral:rRNA from 1 species
GACGAACGCUGGCGGCGUGCUUAACACAUGCAAGUCGAACGGAAAGGCCCUGCUUUUGUGGGGUGCUCGAGUGGCGAACGGGUGAGUAACACGUGAGUAACCUGCCCUUGACUUUGGGAUAACUUCAGGAAACUGGGGCUAAUACCGGAUAGGAGCUCCUGCUGCAUGGUGGGGGUUGGAAAGUUUCGGCGGUUGGGGAUGGACUCGCGGCUUAUCAGCUUGUUGGUGGGGUAGUGGCUUACCAAGGCUUUGACGGGUAGCCGGCCUGAGAGGGUGACCGGCGACAUUGGGACUGAGAGACGGACCAGACUCGUAAGGGAGGCAGCAGGGGGGAAUAUUGCACAAUGGGAGGAAGUCUGAGGAAGCAACGCCGCGUGCGGGAUGACGGCCUUCGGGUUGUAAACCGCUUUCGCCUGUGACGAAGCGUGAGUGACGGUAAUGGGUAAAGAAGCACCGGCUAACUACGUG